rnacentral:tRNA from 1 species
GCCCUGAUGGUGAAGUGGUAAACACGCGAGAUUCAAAAUCUUGUGCUACAUAGCUCGGAGGUUCGAAUCCUCUUCAGGGCA